rnacentral:rRNA from 1 species
AUUGAACGCUGGCGGCAGGCCUAACACAUGCAAGUCGAGCGGAUGAAGGGAGCUUGCUCCUGGAUUCAGCGGCGGACGGGUGAGUAAUGCCUAGGAAUCUGCCUGGUAGUGGGGGAUAACGUCCGGAAACGGGCGCUAAUACCGCAUACGUCCUGAGGGAGAAAGUGGGGGAUCUUCGGACCUCACGCUAUCAGAUGAGCCUAGGUCGGAUUAGCUAGUUGGUGGGGUAAAGGCCUACCAAGGCGACGAUCCGUAACUGGUCUCUGAGGAUGAUCAGUCACACUGGAACUGAGACACGGUCCAGACUCCUACGGGAGGCAGCAGUGGGGAAUAUUGGACAAUGGGCGAAAGCCUGAUCCAGCCAUGCCGCGUGUGUGAAGAAGGUCUUCGGAUUGUAAAGCACUUUAAGUUGGGAGGAAGGGCAGUAAGUUAAUACCUUGCUGUUUUGACGUUACCAACAGAAUAAGCACCGGCUAACUUCGU